UACGGGGGGGGUAAGCGUUGUUCGGAAUUACUGGGCGUAAAGGGCUCGUAGGCGGCCAACUAAGUCGGACGUGAAAUCCCUCAGCUUAACUGGGGAACUGCGUCCGAUACUGGAUGGCUUGGAUUUGGGAGAGGGAUGCGGAAUUCCAGGUGUAGCGGUGAAAUGCGUAGAUAUGUGGAGGAAUACCGGUGGCGAAGGCGGCCUCCUGGUUCAAUACUGACGCUGAGGUGCGAAAGCGUGGGGAGCAAACAGG
rnacentral:rRNA from 1 species